AUGCUUGCUUCAGCAGCAUAUAUACUAAAAUUGGAACAAUACAGAGAUUAGCAUGGCUCCUACACAAGGAUGAAAUGCAAAUUCAUGAAAUGUUCUAUAUAUUU